UAGGUAACAGGGCUGGCUCCGCAGACCCGGGCCAGGGAAGCCCGCGCGCGUCGUCAGCAUCAGCGGGGUGGGGGACUCACUGAACCUCCCCUGUCGGGGUCUGCAGACCCCCCCCGGGCUGGCUAGCGGUCCCCUCCCUGGAUGCCUUAAGGGUGCUGAUCACUGUUGUUGAGCUACCCCUCUCCUGCGGGGACCCCGACGUCGCCGCCCCCUCCGACUUCCUAGCUGGUGUGCACCACUCUCAGUGCGGCCAGAGAUCUUCCUCCGAGCCCAGGCGCGGGGCAUGAGGAGCCCCCAAGUAUCGCCUGCAGACAACCCAGCCACGCGCACACCUCGCCAGCCGCUGACGGGGACAUGAGCAGUUCGAUCCAGCUCUGGUGCCUGGUGGCCAGCCUCAGCCGGCAGCGGCCAAUGGGUCCUUGCUGCCUGGGAGAAUGAGGAAGGAACCCGCGGCCACCUCUCUCUCCUCCUUCUCGCCUUCCUCUGGCUCCCGCGCCCCGGGCCCGGGCCAGGCUGUGGCUCUGCUGCGUGCCCUGCGCGCCCCCCACCUGCCUCCGGAUGCUCUUCUCGGUUAGUCUGGCGAGGAAGAUAAAGACAUUUGCAACCAAGAUGGUAAUCACGGGUGGAAAUGAUGAGGACCGGGGAGGCCAAGAGAAAGAGAGCAAAGAAGAGAGUGUUCUGGCCAUGCUGGGCAUCAUUGGGACCAUCCUGAACCUGAUCGUCAUCAUCUUUGUCUACAUAUAUACCACACUGUGAAUGGCCCCAGGCAGCCUCGGCUGCCUCAGGAUGGCCAUGAGACAAGGGUCCUGUGUGUCCACCUCUCGGUGACCAGACACUGCAGGGGGCCACACCUGCUCCAUCAAUGCACCUUCGAACUUUUUAACAGGUCACCAAAAGAACCCAUCCUGCUGUGAGGAGCAGACAACUCUGAAGCACAAUGAAUCCAACGGAACUCAUUCAGGCCACAAGGAACUCAGCGUCCCUGGCAGGGGACCUGGCAGGAUGCUGGAAAGACCAGCCUUCGGCAUGAGUGGUGAGCGAAGGGGUGAAGAAAUGCCUCACCCUGGAGCGCUGACCACCUCCCAGGACCCGCUCUCGGGGUGGUCCGUUCACAGGCAUCCCAUUCAUCAAAUGUUUCCAGCUGUUUGAUACGGAAGAUAACUUAUUUUUCAUUUUUCAUUGGCUUGAUGUGUGUAUCUGUUCAUACAUACAAGGUUUAUAAAUAUAUAUUUUUAAUAAAUGUGCUCUAUUUUUUAGCAUGAACCAAAUAUUUGGAGAAGCACUUCUGGAUCCACAGCUUUUCAUGGUUUUAAUCGCUUUGCUCCAUCAAGCGCAGGAUGUCUUUUCUGUAGCCAUCCAGGUGUCUCAUCCAGUCCGUCUCUUUUGCUCUCAUGCUCUCCUCCUCCCCAUCUCUGCCUCUCCAUUCUGUCUUCUCUCGUUCCUGACUCCUGCCCACUCCCUCCUCUCCCUUCUCUCUCUCCUCUUCUCCCUUCCCCUGCCUUCGUCUCUUCUCUCCUCCCCUCUUCUCUUCUAUUCUCCUCUCCUCCUCUUUCAUCCAGAGGACAUUUUUUUCCUGUAAUACCAGCCAUGGUCCUGGCUGGUGCAUGUUUCGAGAUUGUCAAGUGGUUUUAUGUUGUUCUGUCAGAGAUCUAAACCGAUUGUGGGCAUGCAGACCUUAAGCGCACCCUGUCUUCAAUGAGAAUUAUGCAUGCACAAGGGCUGAGUGACAGAUCAGCUUUCAACCUGUUUUCAAAGGACUGCCACUGAGGAAGAGGAGUGUGGCCCUGCCUGCAGGUCACCCGUGGGAUGGAGCAGUCAGCUGCUCACUGGCAGUGUCGCUCAUUCACCCCUGCAAACCAUUUGUUUCUCAGAUUUUGAUUUUCUUUGUGACCGUGAGAGAUGAAAACGGGGUAAGCUCAAAGUUCAGUGUGCCGCCCCUUCUUUGAUGAGAUGCCUGGGCGGGGCCAGGUCUCUUCAGAAGUUGGAGGGAUUUGAAUGAUGUGAGGCCUUCCCACAGGGGUAGCCCAUGCGCAGUCAGCUCCUGCUGUAAAGAUGCCACUGUGACUAGUGGCCCGUCAAGGGUGUUGGAAGGGGCUCAAUGAUCUCUGUAAAGGACCCCUUGCACAUUUUAAAGCCGGUUCCCACCCACAUGAAGCUAUUUCCUCUCUAAGGGGUGGGUUGAAUAAAUACAGACUUGCCCUGCUCCCUGGCUUCCUAACAUAGCCCCAGCCUGGCUGCUGUGGACGCCUUAAGGACAGGGUCAGUGUUCAUUCGCCACUGGCAGAAAUGGCAGCAGCCUGCCGGGUUGGAUUCAAAUGACACUGAUGGGGUCUCUGCCUGCCCCCUUCCGUAAACGGCACCACGGCGGAGUCACUUCUCAGGCUCCACUAAGGGACCAGUCUCUUUUAUAAAUCAAAUUCCCGUGAGCACCUGGCUCUGGCCAGAGAUGUCUCCUUCCCCACCCGAAGGAAAGACACAUUGUACACAAAUCACCGGGCCCUCUUAGUAGCCCAGGAAAAGGAGAGUCUCACCUGUGUUGUAGAAGAAGGAGGAGAGCUCAGACCAGGAAUCUUCCCCAAGAUUACCUGGCAUACAGUGGAGUCAGAUCCUAGCCCAGCCUGUCCAGUUCCUUAUCCCAGCCAGGGUGAGCAUGGAAAGCCUAUUGAUUUGCAGAGAGCCAGCUUUGCACACCUCCCUUCCCCACCCCCAUAACAGGAAACAACCUGAGAAUCCCCUGGACUCUGGCAGAUUAUGACACAAAUACAGAAAGGGGCGAGAGGCUGGGUAGAGAUGUGAGAGGCGCCCAGGAAAGAGCGCCACCUACAGGCCGUGUGAUUCUGGGAAAUCUGUAAUUCUGAUCAGUGAACUGAGCAGACAAUAAAGGUGCAAUGGGGAAAAACCCACUGGUGUUGCCGACUUCCUUGUGAGCG